CGAAAAUAAAGGAACAGUGCGUUUAGAAGCGAAACACGAGUGUUAAGUUACACUCAGGUGUAGUGCCACGUGUGAGAUUCUGGUUGGUUAUGUUUAUUUCUAAUUGCAAAAUUAUUUUCAGUUGUGGGGGAAAAAAUAAAUCGGUUCUCUUCUCAAAAUCGAGCUCUUCUUCUCUGAUUCGAGCUUCCUUCUUCUCCCAAAAUCUUCAAGACAAGGUAAGAUCAUUCUUCUAUAAGCUUAGCUUUUCUCUUUUCUUCUUCAUCUUAUCGUCUCCGUUGAUUAUAUCUUCUCGAUUUUGGUGACUCCAACACAAUUUUACUCAUCCUUCAGCGAUCUCGAUCCCAACUAUUUGAUUUGAUUUGAUUUAUUGGUUGAUAAUUUGUUUUUUUGUGAUUUAUAGAGUGGUGAAUCGGAAAAAUGUCGCAGUCGUCUGUUGAUUUGCCGCCAAAAGGUGGGUUUAGCUUCGAUUUGUGCAAAAGGAAUGAUAUGCUUACACAGAAGGGUCUUAAAGCUCCGUCGUUUCUCAAGACUGGAACAACUAUUGUUGGGUUAAUUUUCCAGUAUGAUUCGCACACAAAACAAAGCGUGGAGCUGCUGCACUUGCACUUAUGGUUUUUGUGUUACAUGGUCUUUGUGUUAAUGGAGAGAUUGAAAGCGGGUAAUAAAGAGUAUAUGUAUGUAUUAGAAGUGAAACUAUAAUCAUAGCCUCUAAAAAGGUUCACAUUGUCUUUGCUAUGACAUUAGACAACGACUCGGUAUCACUUGUGUUUUUGUUGUUACUCCUAUGGUUUCUCCUGUUACUUUGAUUUUCUAAUGUUUGAUUGUCUAGCUAUUUAGUUCACUCGAUUAGUAGUGAACUUUUCUUAGUUAAGAGCUUUGCGUUAUCUUUUUGGAUAUUGGUUCUACCACACACUUAUAUUAUAGUUUUCCUCAUGUAUU